rnacentral:misc_RNA from 1 species
AACCUAGCACACCUGCGGUGUGUACCUGCGGAAGGAUCAUUACCUAGAGUUGUAGGCUUUGCCUGCUAUCUCUUACCCAUGUCUUUUGAGUACCUUACGUUUCCUCGGUGGGUUCGCCCGCCGGUUGGACAAAACUUAAACCCUUUGUAGUUGCAAUCAGCGUCUGAAAAAACUUAACAGUUACAACUUUCAGCAACGGAUCU